rnacentral:lncRNA from 1 species
UCUGUGUGACUAUACUAUGUUCAAAUUUUUAUUUUAACGAUAUGGUCAACAAGAAAACAGAUUCUUGGCCUUCCAGUUAGAGAUGUAUUUAGAAAACCAUGGUCUCAACUCUCAUCCCUCUGUAGAAGCGACUCCAGCAAUCUUAAUGUUGCCGCAUCCUGGCAGUUCUCAAGACAGAAGCACUUCCACUCCCAUGGUUGCCCAUGACCUGAAACAACAAACACAUUAGCACAUGCUGAUGGAACUCUGAAAAAUAUUAUUUUUAGAUAACAGGUGCUUGCUCGGCUUUAGCAAACUGAAUCCCUUAAAGCAUUUACAACACAAAGAGUAGUAAUGAAAGUAAAAUAGUUUGAUACAGACCCAAACUGGGCCAACAUCAAAGGAUCAAGGAUCCCCGACACGACACAGACAAGGAACUAACAGGACGACGAGACGCGAUCGGUAGGCACAUCACCCUCUGUGCUGGCCGCCGACCUCCCUAAGGGCCUUCGUAUGAUAUCAGAGUUUGUCGCACAGCAUCCCAAUGCUGGUUGCAGCGCGUCCCUUGCUCAGAGGCUUCCAUAGCUGUAAAAAGAUAGUCAUUUUGUAUAAGGCAUCAGCAGGGUGCUUAAUGAAAAUCCCCUCAAUAAUAGCUUUGUUUCUAACAUGGCAUAAGGCCCUUGACAAGGCCGCAAAGAUCAUCCAAGCCAAUUUAAGAGGCCGACCCAAAAGCCUUGUACUAAGGGUGUGAAAGGCCAGAAAAGAAGCGGGUGCCCAGCUGCACGAAGUAAAGUCAUGGACAGAAUCCCAACGAAAUUGCACCAUAACACAUUUGAAGAAAAUAUAAUCAACAUCUUCAACAGCCCACAUAGCGGACAUAGCCCGUCCCUUGGACCAUGCCGCCUCUGAACUUCAACUCCCACAAAUAUUCAAGAUGGCCAAUAAGAUGAUAUGGACGGUUCAGCCAUGACAAUAUUACAUAACCUUUUCAGGUAGAUUGUGUGUGUGGAUGAGAAGAGAUAUAAUGUGAUGAUCCAAAUUGUGAGAAAAAAAUCAUGCUGUAAAUUUACAAGCGUUGAGCACCUGGUUGCGAUGGAGCUCAAGUUCAGGAACCUAACAAAAUUUUGAACCCAAUAGUUUCAGUGAAUAUGCAUGGGCUAUUGUCGGUACUAUUGUUGUAUAAUAGGAAAUCUAGAGGUCUUAUGUGUAAAAGUGAAGCUCUGUAAAUAUCUGUACUGAGGAUGAAUGGAUGAGGUUGCCCCGACCAGAAAUUCCAGUGUCUUCCCCUUCUCUCACCUUCGACUCCUCUCUGAUUAGGUGUGUGUUCCAUAACAUGGUAUCAGAGAAGGGUGGCUUGGGGGCCUAAUUUGCGAUGGUGGAGAGCUGAAUCGGGGCUGGGUUGGUCGGAUGUGGUGGAGGAGUGUGACCAGCGGCAGUUGAGGCGCAAUGCUGGUCGGGCGCGCCGGACGUCAACAGGCAACGAGGUUCAGCCGCUGCGGUGACUCGAUUUGAGCAUUCCCUUCGUUGCUGGAGCUGAACAGGUCAAGCAUUUGGGUACUCAGUCUGAGGUGUGUGUGCUGGGUGUGGAGGAACUGAAGGUAUGGCAGGCAAUGAAAAUGCCCCAGCAGGAGUCACAGCGGGGGAGCUUGCUGCUGUUUUGCAGGCGAUGGAUGAGAAGUAUCGGGUGUUGUUUGAUGCAAUUAACAAGCAAGCAGGGAACUCAAGAUCAGAAGUGGAGAUAAAAGAAGAGGUGCAUCCUUUGCAAAUGCCCCAUGUAAAAUUAGAAGGGCCUGAGAUGUGAGUUGGCCAGAGCAUACAGAGACCAUUUUGGUCUCUAGGAAGCUUGAAGGUUAUAUUUUAGGCAUGGUGGAGAAGCCUGCAGAUGAGAGUUCCAAAGAAGGCCAGAAGUGGAAGGCGAUAAAUGCACUUGUGAGGGCCUGGUUAUUGAGCUCGGUAUCACCUCAGAUCGCUAAGCAAAUUGAAAGGAUUAAAGAAGCUUCUGAAAUCUGGAGAUUAUUGAAAGGGACAUUCUCAGGAGUAGGAAAUGAAAUGCUUGCUUGCAAGAUUCAGAAGGAGUUGCAGGACCUGAGUCAAGGCGAGAAGACAGUGGUUGACUAUGUUUCUGAGCUGAAACGACUUUGGAGCGAUUUGGAUUAUUAUGAUCCAAUUGAGAUGGAGUGUGGCAAGUGCAUUGAAAAAUACAAUAAAUGGACCGAGAGGAGGCGUGUUAGGGAUUUUCUAAAUGGACUUAAUUCUAAGUUUGAAAACAGAAGGGCUGCAUUGUAUGGUAGUGGGAAACUACCUAACCUGGAGCAAGCAAUAUCUGCAAUUAUUAGUGAGGAAGCUCGGAUGAAGCUGGAGGCUACAUGAUCGUCUACACAAGGCGUCACACAGAGGCGCUCAGCCUUCCUUGCUACAGAAGGGGCAAAUUUUCAAAGAUCAGGAGCAAGUAUAUAUGAGAAGAAAUGUUUUGAAUGUGGCCAGCCAGGACACUUGCGAGUCUCUUGUCCUGAAUUAGUUGGAGCAGGUCAGGGUAGAGGACAAGAGUGGCGUGGCAGGGGUCAUGGACGUGUAUUUGAUGGACGUGGAGGUAAUCGGGGGCGUGGUGUGCGACCUACAGGCAGGGCAAAUAUCUCAUCAGUUAUUGAAGAAUCCCCACAAACUAUGAAAGUAGAGAUGUCGGUCGAUGACUGGGAGAGGUGGAGCAAAUUUAAGGGAAUGUGUUUGGAGGAUAAGGAAUCUAUCGAGGCUUCUACUGCAUCCACUUCUGCUGCAUCUGCCAACUUUGGUGGUAAAAAUUCUUGCACUAUGAAUUAUGAAGUUGCUUAUAUACCAUAGUUAAUUGACUCUGGGGCUUCUAGACAUAUGGCUAGUUCUUAUAGAAAUUUUAUUGACUAUGCUCCUGAUUUAAAAAGGCAAACUGUCAAAUUGGCUGAUGGCUCCUCUCAAACUAUUCUGGGGUCAGGAACAGUCAAGUGUGGAUCUAAUAUGCAUCUUUCAUCUGUUCUGCAUGUUCCCUCGUUCCCAAUUAAUCUGCUAUCCAUUAGUUGCAUUACAAACGAUCUUAAUUGUGUUGCUAUCUUCUUCCCAUCAUGGUGCUUAUUUCAGGAACUUGGGACUGGAAGAAGGCUUGGGACAGGGUAUUGGGGAUCGUAGCAGAAAUUUAAAAUUUUCUAUGCAUCACCAAGAUCUAUCUAUGGAGUAAUCUAGCAAUGAGGGGAAGGAGAGUGCAUCCACAUACCCUUGUAGAUUGCUAAGCGGAAGCGUUCAAGUGAACGGGGUUGAUGGAGUCGUACUCGUCGUGAUCCAAAUCACCGAUGAUCCUAGCGCCGAACGUACGGCACCUCCGCGUUCAACACACGUACGGAAUGGAGACGUCUCCCACGCCUUGAUCCAUUAAGGAGGAGGGAGAGGUUGAGGAAGAGAGUCCAACAGCAGCACGACAACGUGGUGGUGAUGGAGUGGCAGUUCUCCGGCAGGGCUUCGCCAAGCUCACGCGGAGGAGGAGAGGUAUUGGAGGGGAGGGGCUGCGCCAGGUUCAAGGGUGUGGCCGCCCUCCCACCCCUCCACUAUUUAUAGUUGGGGAGAGAGGGGGCCGGCCCCCCUAGAUCCCAUCUAAGGUUGGGGGCGGCGGCCAAGGGGGGGGGGAGGAGUGCCUCCCAAGUCAAGUGGAGGCCCUCCCCCUUAGGGUUUCCCCUCUCCCAUGCGCAUGUGCCUUGGGAGGGUUGGUGCCCUUGGCCCAUUAAGGUUAGGGCGCCCCCCUACAGCCCAUGCUGCUGUAUUGGACGUGGUGGAACAUUUUCCGGACCUACGGACCCCUCCGGAACCUUCCGGAAGCUUCCCGGUACAAUACCAGAAAAAACCGAACUUUUCCCGGAAUCCGAACAACAACUUUCCAUAUAUAAAUCUUUAACUCUGGACCAUUCCGGAACUCCUCGUGACGUCCGGGAUCUCAUCCGGGACUCCGAACAACAUUCGGUAAUCACAUACAAGUCUUCCUAACAACCCUAGCGUCAUCGAACCUUAAGUGUGUAGACCCUACGGGUUCGGGAACCAUGCAGACAUGACCGAGACAACUCUCCGGCCAACAACCAACAUCGGGAUCUGGAUACCCAUGUUGGCUCCCACAUGUUCCACGAUGAUCUCAUCGGAUGAACCACAAUGUCGAGGAUUCAAUCAAUCCCGUAUUCAAUUCCCUUUGUCCAUCGGUAUUGUACUUGCCCGAGAUUCGAUCGUCGGUAUCCCGAUACCUUGUUCAAUCUCGUUACCGGCAAGUCUCUUUACUCGUUCCGUAACACAUCAUCACGUGAUCAAGUCCUUGGUCACAUUGUGCACAUUAUGAUGAUGUCCUAUCGAGUGGGCCCAGAGAUACCUCUCCGUUACACGGAGUGACAAAUCCCAGUCUCGAUUCGUGCCAACCCAACAUACACUUUUGGAGAUACCUGUAAUGAACCUUUAUAGCCACCCAGUUACGUUGUGACAUUUGGUACACCCAAAGCACUCCUACGGUAUCCGGGAGUUGCACAAUCUCAUGGUCUAAGGAAAUGAUACUUGACAUUAGAAAAGCUUUAGCAAACGAACUACACGAUCUUUUGCUAGGCUUAGGAUUGGGUCUUGUCCAUCACAUCAUUCUCCUAAUGAUGUGAUCCCGUUAUCAACGACAUCCAAUGUCCAUGGUUAGGAAACCGUAACCAUCUAUUGAUCAACGAGCUAGUCAACUAGAGGCUUACUAGGGACAUGGUGUUGUCUAUGUAUCCACACAUGUAUCUGAGUUUCCUAUCAAUACAAUUCUAGCAUGGAUAAUAAAGGAUUAUCAUGAACAAGGAAAUAUAAUAAUAACCAAUUUAUUAUUGCCUCUAGGGCAUAUUUCCAACAGUCUCCCACUUGCACUAGAGUCAAUAAUCUAGUUCACAUCGCCAUGUGAUUAACACUCACAGGUCACAUCGCCAUGUGACCAACAUCCAAGAGUCUACUAGACUCAAUGAUCUAGUUCACAUCACUAUGUGAUAAACACUCAAAGAGUUCUGGAUUUGAUCAUGUUAUGCUUGUGAGAGAGGUUGUAGUCAACAGGUCUUGCCAUAUUCAGAUCCCUAUGUAUUUCGCAAAACUUUAUGUCAUAUCGUAGAUGCUACUACCACGUUCCACUUGGAGCUAUUCCAAAUUGUUGCUCCAUUAUACGUAUCCGGUAUCUCUACUCAGAGCUAUCCGGAUAGGUGUUAAGCUUGCAUCGACAUAACUCUUUACGUCGAACUCUUUAUCACCUCCAUAACCAAUAAACAUUUCCUUAUUCCUCUAAGGAUAAUUUUGACCGCUAUCUGGUGAUCCACUCCUAGAUCACCUUUGUACCCUCUUGCCAGACAUGUGGCAAGGCACACAUCUGGUGCGGUACUCAGCAUGGCAUACCGUAUAGAGCCUAUGACAAAAGUAUAGGGGGCGACCUUCGUCCUUCCUCUUUCUUCUGCCAUGGUCAAUCUUCGAGUCUUACUCAACUUCACACCUUUCAACUUAGGUAAGAACCCCUUCUUUGACUGAUCUAUUUUGAACUCCUUCAAAAACAUGUCAAGGUGUGCGUUCUUUGAAAGUAUCAUCAGGCGUCUUGAUCUAUCUCUAUAGAUCUUGAUGCCCAAUAUGUAAGCAGCUUUAUCCAGGUCUUCCUUUGAAAAACACUCUUCAAACAACCGUUUAUGCUUUCCAGAAAUUCUACAUUAUUUUGGAUCUACAAUAUGUCAUCCACAUAUACUUAUCAGAAAUGUUGUAGUGCUCCCACUCACUUUCUUGUAAAUACAAGUUUCUAGCAAACAUUGUAUAAACCUAAAAGCUUUGGUCACUCUAUCAAAGCAUGUAUUCUGACUCCGAGAUGCUUGCUCUAGUCCAUAGAAGGAUUGCUGGAGCUAGCAUACCUUUUAGCAUCCUUAGGAUCGACAAAACUUUGAUUGUAUCACAUACAACUCUUUCUUAUGAAAACUGGUAAGAAAACUUGUUUUUGACAUCCAUCUGUCAGAUUUCAUAAUCGAAAAAUGUAGCUAAUGCUAACAUGAUUCCGACGGACUUAAGCAUCGCUACGGGUGAGAAAUUCUCAUCGUAGUCAACUCCUUGAACUUGUGAAGAGAAUCUUUCCCACAAGUCGAGCUUCAUAGACGGUAACAUUACCGCCCAUGUCCGUCUUCUUCUUAAAGAUCCAUUUAUCUCAAUGGCUUGCCGAUCAACGGGCAAGUCCACCAAAGUCCAUACUUUGUUCUGAUACAUGGAUUCUAUCUCGGAUUUCAUGGCUUCUAACCAUUUGUCAGAAUACGGGCCCACCAUCGCUUCUCCAUAGCUCGUAGGUUCAUUGUUGUCUAACAACAUGAUAUCUAAGACAGGAUCACCGCACCACUCAGGAGUAGCACAUAUCCUUGUCGACCUACGAGGUUCUAUAGCAACUUGAUCCGAAGCUUCAUGAUCACUAUCAUUAACUUCCUAUUCAACAGAUGUAGGCGCCACAGAAAACAUCUUUAUGUGUUGCAUCACUUUCUGGUUGAAAUUAAAGGUUCAACAACCUCAUCAAGUUCUAUCUUCCUCCCACUCAAUUCUUUCGAGAGAAACUCCUUCUCGAGAAAGGACCCGUUCUUAGCAACAAACAAUUUGCCCUCGGAUCUGAGAUAGAAGGUAUACCCAAUUGUCACCUUUGGGUAUCCUAUGAAGAUGUGUUUGUCCGCUUUGGGUUCGAGCUUCUCCAGCUGAAGCCUUAAGCAUCGCAGCCCCAAACAUUAAGAAACGACAACUUUGGUUUCUUGCCAAACCAAUGUUCAUACGGCGUCGUCUCAACAGACUUAUAUGGUGUCCUAUCUAAAGUGAAUGCAGCUGUCUCUAAUGCAUAUCCUCAAAAUGAAACGGUAGAACGGUAAGAGACAUCAUAGAUCGCACCAUAUCUCAUAGGGUUCGAUUACGACGUCCGGACACACCAUUACCCUGUGGUGUUCCAGGUGGCUUCAACUGUGAAACAAUUCCACAAUGUCUUAAGUGUUUGCCAAACUCAUAACUCAGAAAUUCUCAUUGAUCAGAUCGUAGGAAUUUGAUCUUCUUGUUAUGAUGAUUCUUAACUUCACUAUGAAAUCGCUUGAACUUUUCAAACGUUUCAGACUUGUGCUCCAUUAAGUAAAUAUACCUAUAUCUACUCAAAUCGUCAGUGAAGAUGAGAAAAUAGCGAUAUCCAUUGCACGCUUCAAUUCUCAUUGGAUCGCACACAUCAACAUGUAUGAUUUCCAACAAGUCACUUGCCCGUUUCAUUGUACCUGAAAACGGGGUCUUAGUCAUCCUGCCCAUGAGGCAUGGCUCGCAUGUGUCAAGCGAUUCAAAAUCAAGUGACUCCAAACAUCCAUCAAUAUGGAGUUUCUUCAUGCAUCUUACGCCAAUAUGACCUAAGCGGCAGUGCCACAAGAAAGUGGUACUAUCAUUAUUAACUCUACAUCUUUUGGCAUGAACAUGUGUAUUACUACGACCGAGAUUCACUGAACCAUUCACAUAGGGUGCAUGACCAUGGAAGGUAUUAUUCAUGUAAACAGAAUAACCAUUGUUCUCUAACUUAAAUGAAUAACCGUAUUGCAAUGAACAUGAUCUAAUCAUAUUCAUGCUCAACGUAGACACCUGAUAACAUUUAUCUAGGUUCAAUACUAAUCCCGAAGGCAGAUGGAGCGUGCGAUGAUCUCAUCAACUUUGGAAACACUUCCAACACACAUCGUCACCUCGCCCUUAGCCAGUCUCCGUUUAGUCCGUAGCUUUUGCUUCAAGUCACCAAUAAUAGCAACUGAACCGGUAUCCAAUACCCAGGUGCUACCAGGAGUACUAGUGAGGUACACAUUAAUUACAUGUAUAUACUUUGAAGUUGCCAGCCUUCUUAUCUACCAUGCAUUUUGGGUAAUUCCGCUACCAGUGACCGUUCCCCUUACAAUAGAAGCACUUAGUCUCGGGUUUGGGUUCAACCUUGGGUUCCUUCACUGGAGCAGCAACUGGUUUGCCAUCCAUGAAGUUUCCCUUCUAGCCCUUGCCCUUCUUGAAACCAGUGGUCUUGUUAAACCAUCAACACUUGAUGCUCCUUCUUGAUUUCUACCUUUUGCGGUCUUAAGCACCGCGAACAGCUCCGGGAUCAACUCCAUCCCUUGCAUGUCAUAGUUCAUCACGAAGAUCUAGUAGCUUAGUGAUAGUGGCUAGAGAACUCUAUCAAUCACUAUCUUAUCUGGAAGUUUAACUCCCACUUGAUUUAAGUGAUUGUAGCACCCAGACAUUCUGAGCACAUGCUCACUAGCUGAGCUAUUCUCCUCCAUCUUGUUGGCAAAAGAACUUGUCAGAGGUAUCACACCUCUCAACACGGGCAUGAGCAUGAAAUCCCAAUUUCAGCUCUUGGAACAUCUCAUAUGUUCUAUGGCAUUCAAAACGUCAUUUGAAUCCCGAUUCUCAGCCGUAAAGUAUGGUGCACUAAACUAUCAAGUAGUCAUCAGGAUGUGUCUGUCAGGUGUUCACAACAUCCACAGACGACGUUGUAGGGGUUUGCACAUCGAGCGGUGCAUCAAAGACGUAAGCCUUCCGUGUAGCAGUGAGGACACUCCUCAGACUACGGACCUAGUACGCAUCAUUGCUUACAAUAUCUUUCAACUUAACCUUUCUCUAGGAACAUAUUGAAACAGGGAGCUACGACGUGAGCUAUUUAUCUACAACAUAUUUGCAAAGACAAUUUAGACUAUGUUCAUGAUAAUUGAGUUCAUCUAAUCAAAUUAUUUAAUGAACUCCCACUCAGAUAGACAUCCCUCUAGUCAUCUAAGUGAAACAUGAUCUGAAUCGACUAGGCCGUGUCCGAUCAUCACGUGAGACGGACUAGUCAUCAACGGUGAACAUCUCAUGUUGAUCGUAUCUUCUAUACGACUCAUGUUCGAACUUUCGGUCUUCCGUGUUCUGAGGCCAUGUCUGUACAUGCUAGGCUCGUCAAGUCAACCUAAGUGUUUCGCAUGUGUUCCGAGGCCAUGUUUGUACAUGCUAGGCUUGUCAACACCCGUUGUAUUCGAACGUUAGAAUCUAUCACACCCGAUCAUCACGUGGUGCUUCGAAAUAACGAACCUUCGCAACGGUGCACAGUUAGGGGGAACACUUUUCUUGAAAUUUUAGUGAGGGAUCAUCUUAUUUAAGCUACCGUCGUUCUAAGCAAAUAAGAUGUAAAACAUGAUAAACAUCACAUGCAAUCAAAUAGUGACAUGAUAUGGCCAAUAUCAUUUUGCUCCUUUUGAUCUCCAUCUUCGGGGCUCCAUGAUCAUCGUUGUCACCGGCAUGACACCAUGAUCUCCAUCAUCAUGCUCUCCAUCAUCGUGUCUUCUUGAAGUUGUCUCGUCAUCUAUUACUUCUACUACUAUGGCUAACACUUUAGCAAUAAAGUAAAGUAAUUACAUGACGUUUAUGUUGACACGCAUGUCAUAAAUAAAUUAAGACAACUCCUAUGGCUCCUGCCGGUUGUCAUACUCAUCGACAUGCAAGUCGUGAUUCCUAUUACAAGAACAUGAUCAAUCUCAUACAUCACAUAUAUCAUUCAUCACAUCCUUUUGGCCAUAUCACAUCACAAGGCAUAUGCUGCAAAAACAAGUUAGACGGAAUUGCAAGUUUUUACGUGGCUGCUAUAGGUUUCUAGCAAGAACGUUUCUUACCUACGCGAAAACCACAACGUGAUAUGCCAAUUUCUAUUUACCCUUCAUAAGGACCCUUUUCAUCAAAUUCGAUCCGACUAAAGUGGGAGAGACAGACACCCGCUAGCCACCUUAUGCAACUAGUGCAUGUCAGUCGGUGGAACCAGUCUCACGUAAGAGUACGUGUAAGGUCGGUCCGGGCCGCUUCAUCCCACAAUGCCGUCGAAUCAAGAUAAGACUACUAACGGCAAGUAAAUUGACAAAAUCGACGCCCACAACAACUUGUGUUCUACUCGUGCAUAGAAACUACACAUAGACCUAGCUCAUGAUGCCACUGUUGGGGAUCGUAGCAGAAAUUUAAAAUUUUCUACGCAUCACCAAGAUCUAUCUAUGGAGUAAUCUAGCAACGAGGGGAAGGAGAGUGCAUCUACAUACCCUUGUAGAUCGCUAAGCGGAAGCGUUCAAGUGAACGGGGUUGAUGGAGUCGUACUCGUCGUGAUCCAAAUCAUCGAUGAUCCUAGCACCGAACGGACGGCACCUCCGCGUUCAACACACGUACGGAACGGAGACAUCUCCCACACCUUGAUCCAGCAAGGAGGAGGGAGAGGUUGAGGAAGAGAGUCCAACAGCAGCACGACGGCGUGGUGGUGAUGGAGUGGCAGUUCUCCAGCAGGGCUUCGCCAAGCUCACGCGGAGGAGGAGAGGUAUUGGAGGGGAGGGGCUGCGCCAGGUUCAAGGGUGUGGCCGCCCUCCCACCCCUCCACUAUUUAUAGUUGGGGAGAGAGGGGGCCGGCCCCCCUAGAUCCCAUCUAGGGUUGGGGGCGGCGGCCAAGGGGGGGGAGGAGUGCCUCCCAAGUCAAGUGGAGGCCCUCCCCCUUAGGGUUUCCCCUCUCCCAUGCGCAUGGGCCUUGGGGGGGCUGGUGCCCUUGGCCCAUUAAGGUUAGGGCGCCCCCCUAUAGCCCAUGCUGCUGUAUUGGACGUGGUGGAGCAUUUUCCGGACCUCCGGACCCCUCCGGAAUCCUCCGGAACCUUCCGGAAGCUUCCCGAUACAAUACCGAAAAAACCGAACUUUUCCCGGAACCCGAACAACAACUUUCCAUAUAUAAAUCUUUACCUCCGGACCAUUCCGGAACUCCUCGUGACGUCCGGGAUCUCAUCCGGGACUCCGAACAACAUUCGGUAAUCACAUACAAGUCUUCCUAACAACCCUAGCGUCAUCGAACCUUAAGUGUGUAGACCCUACGGGUUCAGGAACCAUGCAGACAUGACCGAGACAACUCUCGGCCAAUAACCAACAGCGGGAUCUGGAUACCCAUGUUGGCUCCCACAUGUUCCACAAUGAUCUCAUCGGAUGAACCAUGAUGUCGAGGAUUCAAUCAAUCCCGUAUUCAAUUCCCUUUGUCCAGCGGUAUUGUACUAGCCCGAGAUUCGAUCGUCGGUAUCCCGAUACCUUGUUCAAUCUCGUUACCGGCAAGUCUCUUUACUCGUUCCGUAACACAUCAUCCCGUGAUCAACUCCUUGGUCACAUUGUGCACAUUAUGAUGAUGUCCUACCGAGUGGGCCCAGAGAUACCUCUCCGUUACACGGAGUGACAAAUCCUAGUCUCGAUUCGUGCCAACCCAACAGACACUUUCGGAGAUACCUGUAGUGAACCUUUAUAGCCACCCAGUUACGUUGUGACGUUUGGUACACCCAAAGCACUCCCACGGUAUCCGGGAGUUGCACAAUCUCAUGGUCUAAGGAAAUGAUACUUGACAUUAGAAAAGCUUUAGCAAACGAACUACACGAUCUUGUGCUAGGCUUAGGAUUGGGUCUUGUCCAUCACAUCAUUCUUCUAAUGAUGUGAUCCCGUUAUCAACGACAUCCAAUGUCCAUGGUCAGGAAACCGUAACCAUCUAUUGAUCAACGAGCUAGUCAACUAGAGGCUUACUAGGGACAUGGUGUUGUCUAUGUAUCCACACAUGUAUCUGAGUUUCCUAUCAAUACAAUUCUAGCAUGGAUAAUAAACGAUUAUCAUGAACAAGGAAAUAUAAUAAUAACCAAUUUAUUAUUGCCUCUAGGGCAUAUUUCCAACACAGGGAGCAUGCGUGAUGGCAUGUACUACUUAGAUGAUAACAUGUCACCUACUGUUGCUGAUGUGUUGUCUCACUCUCCACUGGAGGAAUUUCUUCUUCAUCAUCGCAGGCUAGGACAUAUGUCUUUUGUCAUUUUGGGUCAGCUUUAUCCAAACCUGUAUAAUAAAAUUAGCAAAGAGAAUCUAGUAUGUGAUGCGUGCCACUAUGGGAAACAGACUAGGAGUACUUAUGUAUCUUCUGAUAAUAGACCGCUUCAGACCAUCCACUCGGAUGUAUGGGGUCCUAGCGGAGUAUUAUCUCUUAACGGAUAUCGCUCUUUUGUCACAUUCAUUGACUGCUGCACUAGGACUACUUGGGUCUAUGUGUUGAAAAACAAGAGUGAUGUAUUUGAAUGUUUUAGGGAUUUUCAUAAUUUAAUCAUGACCCAAUAUAAUGCAUGCGUGAAAGUACUCCGUACUGAUAAUGGCAUGGAAUAUGUGAAUAAGGAGUUUGAUGAAUAUUUAUCAAGCUUUGGAAUUAUUCAUCAAACUACUUGUCCUGGUACCUCUGAACAGAAUGGCUUGGCUGAGAGAAAAAAUAGGCAUCUCUUAGAGAUUACACGGUGUAUCAUGAUGGCCAUGAAUGUUUCAAAAUUUCUGUGGAGUGAGGCAGUAAUGACUGCUGCAUACUUGAUGAACAGAAUGCCAUCUAGAGUUCUUGGUUACAAAACUCCAAUAGAGUGUCUGACAGGUAGGACUACAUAUGUGCUUCCACCAAAGGUGUUCGGGUGUGUGUGUUUUGUGAAAGAUUACAGGCCAUCUAUUGGAAAGUUAGAUCCAAGGGCUGUGAAGUGUGUGUUUGUGGGGUAUUCUGGGAAGCAGAAAGGCUAUAAGUGUUGGUGUCCAUCAGAAAAACGAAUGUUUGUGAGCAUGGAUGUAAUCUUCAAGGAACAAGUACCAUUUUAUGGGGAACCUGAUGAUUUAACCGAUGUCUUUCCUGAUCUGUUUUCUAGUGAUGUUUCAGAUCUGGACAACGGGACAGGGGGAGAAAAAGAAGGAGAAGAGAACAAUUCUACACCAUCAAGAGAAAUGGUGGUUGGAGUAAUACCAUUGGAAGACAGAAAUGAUAAUAUAGAUGUGGAUCUUAUAGAAGGAGAACCAGGGCGAACUAUGCAAGGGGAGAGACAAAAUACAUCAACUGAAGUUAUGCGGUGGGCAAGACCGAAUGAAGAACAAAAUCUGUGGGUGUAUACGCGGAGACAUCAAACUGAGGAAGAACAUGUGCAGGGGGAGGAAAUUAGUCCAGCGAAGGAUGAUUCGAAAGCUCAAGUUCAAUCCGACGGGCAUGAUUCCAGUUCACAACCAUCAGCUUCAUCUCAUACUCCACUACUGGUCUCCACAAGCGAUGGUAUACCUCCUCUUGCUUAUGAUGACUUAAAUGUUCCCAUUGCCCUUAGAAAGCAGCCUCGCACUAUUGCUGGAAAAUUGCCCUCUAAAUUAGCCCCAUAUGAUGUCUCUAAUUAUGUUACAUACAAUUCUAUUGGGCCUUUGUAUAAGUCAUUUAUAGCUUCCUUGCAUUCAACUUUACCUAUACCACGUGACUGCAGGAAGCGAAGCAAUACCCAGAAUGGAGGGCGGCAAUGUUAGAGGAAAUGGCAACACUUGAUAAGAACCAAACAUGGGUACUUACUUCUCUCCCUGUAGAUAAGAAAGUUGUGGGUUGUAAAUGGGUAUUUACAGUUAAACAAACUCCAGAUGGUAAGGUAGAAAGAUAUAAGGCUAGGCUAGUUGCAAAAGGGUAUAGUCAAACUUACGGAGUGGAUUAUGAUGAAACAUUUCUUCCAGUGGCGAAAUUGAGUACUGUCAGGACUUUAAUCUCGAUAGCUGCAAAUCAGAAGUGGAAAUUGUUCCAGGUGGAUGUUAAAAAUGCUUUUCUCCAUGGAGAUCUGCAAGAGGAGGUUUAUAUGGAAAUUCCUCCUGGGUUUAGAAGCCGGGAAACAGAGGGUAAAGUGUGUCGGUUAACAAAGUCUCUGUAUGGACUAAAACAGUCUCCUAGGGCAUGGUUUGGAAGGUUUCGAAAGGAAAUCUGUUCCAUGGGUUAUCGGCAAAGCAAUGCAGAUCAUACCCUAUUCUUUAAAUGCCAGUGCGAUUACAUUACUAUACUUCUUGUUUAUGUAGAUGACAUUGUGAUUACAGGUAACAAUGAGGUAGAGAUAUCUCAGUUGAAGAAGAUGUUAGCAAAGUCGUUUGAAGUCAAGGAUAUGGGAUAUCUCCACUACUUCUUGGGAAUCUAAGUUGCAUAUAGCCCAAAAGGUAUUUAUCUCUCACAAAGAAAAUAUGUGCUUGAUUUACUUGAGGAGACAGGGAUGUUAGGAUGCAAACCUGCAGUCACACCAAUAGAACAGAAUCAUCGGAUCUCUGCAGAUGGUGGUGAUCCCGUUGAUAGGUACCAAUACCAAAGGCUAGUUGGGCGGUUAAUCUAUCUGUCACAUACGAGACCAGAUAUAGCAUAUGCUGUUAGUAUUGUAAGCAGAUACAUGCAUGACCCUAGAACUAGCCACUUAGAUGCUGCGAAUAGAAUUCUAAGAUACUUAAAGAGUUGUCCUGGGAAGGGAAUCCUGUUCACUAAUCAUGGACAUCUGAGAAUCGAGGGGUACACAGAUGCGGACUGGGCUGGAUGCUUAGAUGAUAGGCGUUCAACUUCAGGCUAUUGCAUGUUUGUCGGAGGAAAUUUGGUUAGUUGGAGAAGUAAGAAGCAGAGUGUGGUAGCUCGCUUGACAGCGGAAGCGGAGUUUAGGUCAAUGGCUUCAGGGUUGUGUGAACUGAUGUGGCUAAAAACAUUGCUAACGGAGUUGCAGUUGUGCAGUGGUGCACCCUAUUCAGGUAUAUUGUGAUAAUCAGGCCACAAUUAACAUAGUGAACAACCCUGUUUAUCAUGAUAGAACUAAACAUAUUGAGAUAGAUAGGCACUUUAUCCGGGAGAAAUUAGAUGAAAGGUUAUUCCAAAUUAGUUAUGUUAGGUCAGUAGAUCAGCUUGCAGAUGUAUUAACAAAAGGGAUAGGUGUUGUAUCAUUUACGAGGAUUUGUAACAAGAUGGGGCUUAUUGACAUCUUCGCCCCAUCUUGAGGGGGAGUGUCAGUACUCUUGUUGUAUAAUAGGAAAGCUAGAGGUCUUAUGUGUAAAAGUGAAGCUCUGUAAAUAUCUGUACUGAGGAUGAAUGGAUGAGGUUGCCCCGACCAGAAAUUCCAGUGUCUUCCCCUUCUCUCACCUUCGACUCCUCUCUGAUUAGGUGUGUGUUCCACAACAGCUAUAUAGAACUGGAAAAAGAUGAGUGGGCAUAAUGGCAACAAGAAAAAUGAACAAAUAGAAGUACGUAAUGAGCUGAAUUUGUCACAUGGCAUGGAACGUAGCUAGCUGAUAUUGAUCUUCAAAACGAUACAUAUAGAAGUAUGUAAUAAUCAAGCUCCAUAGAAAGCAAGCUGCAUCAGUGGCUACUGUGUGAAGCAUUGCUCUACAAGAAUUUGAAGAGGCAAGAACGGUUGCCAGAGUUCAGGGUGUUGCCAGCUUCAGUGAACUUCUUCAGAGCAGAAACAUCAAAGUCCUGCAGAAUGUAGCAUCAAAGUAAGCUGAAUGCAGAUAAAUGAGAUUGGCUUUCAAAUUAGAGUGGAAC